UACGUAGGGGGCUAGCGUUGUCCGGAAUCAUUGGGCGUAAAGCGCGUGUAGGCGGCCCGGUAAGUCCGCUGUGAAAGUCGGGGGCUCAACCCUCGGAUGCCGGUGGAUACUGUCGGGCUCGAGUACGGAAGAGGCGAGUGGAAUUCCUGGUGUAGCGGUGAAAUGCGCAGAUAUCAGGAGGAACACCAAUAGCGAAGGCAGCUCGCUGGGACGGUACUGACGCUAAGGCGCGAAAGCGUGGGGAGCGAACAGG
rnacentral:rRNA from 1 species